CCAUCCUGCCUCUCCUCAUCUGUGGCUCGUUAAAGGCAGCCACGUGUUGCAGCUGACACUAGUGGCUUUAGCAGCAACUCCUUUCCCCUCUGCCUGAAGUAUUUGUAUUUUACCCUGGGAUCAUCAUUGUGAAUUUGAAAGCGUCUUUCGUACAGGAGACUUACUCAGGGGCCAAAAGAGCGAUGAAGCCUAAUGGAUCCAGCCUUCUUGGUCCCUUCACAUAGCAGUCCCAAAGAAUUGCUAAACCCAGGACAACAGAUGAGAACUUCCAAGACACCCUCUUCUUGCAUUGCAGCCAACACUUGAUUUGAGGAGGGCUCUUCAUCAGCAUCAGAGAGCCCUGCUAUGACAUUACUUCAAGUGCCAAAUAGUUCUAUUGAAUUUAAACCCUGGAGACUUCCUUGGCGAGGCCAGGGCCCUUUGUGCAAUCACUCCUUGUCCUCCAAAGGCAAUUGGACACCAUUUGAGGCUCCAGGCAGACCCUUGUCACAGGCAGGGAACAAAACUGCUGCUCCUUCUGAAAUGCCUGAGUUCCUCAUUUGGGGUGUGCAGCUUUGAGGUCCUGUCACUUGGCAUAGGCUACCUCCAGUCUUUCUGCCUGUCAAGGGUUAGGGCUGGAAUGGGCAUUUAAUGAGUGACAGAUGUUCUCUAUCAACAUCUCUCCCUUCCCAAAGGGAAGAGAAAGGGAAUAAGGGAGAAAGACUUAGGGACUGGAAAAAAACCUGAAACUACUUUAAAGAAAAUAUUAAAAAGAAAGUAAAAUAUAUACAAAACCAAUGCAGAACAGUUUUGCACAGACCUUUGUUACAGUUGGCUGAGACCACCUUUUUUAAUAGAAAAGAAAAAUAUUAAAGCAGUGAUCCUGCAGCAUUGUGAAAAAUAAUGGUGGAGAGAAGAAGGGAAAUAUUAUAGUAGUAUUUAUUUAAACCAGGAUUUGGUCUUCUCCUGGGACUGUUGACAGGUGGUGUCAAUUAGCUGCACAGCAGCAGUGGUACUGAUGUUGGGGCCUUCUGCUUUGACUUUUAAAGGCAGAAUGCAAGUCAGCCCUGGUUUUGCAUAGCUAGGUCCACUGAGGAUGCUCUGCUGUCAGAGCCACCGAAAUCUAACUCUGCAGAAAGUUGUGUCCUAAGGACAGCCUGAACUGAGUAGAGACUUCCAGGCACCAUCCCACCAAAGUUGGCUUAGCUGAAGGUUUGUCAGCAGCUGAAUAGGUGUGGUUAGAAAUAGCUUCAUGGCUGACUCACUCAAUGCUCUAUCACACUUCAUACCAUCCAGCAAGAGUUCCCAUUCAGCUAC